AAAGGCUCCUCACGCCACACCGCUUCGCAUUCACAAUCGGUUUCUUCACACAUGCCACAACGAUUCUUCUCUUCCCACAAAGAUUCGUUACUCAACCCUCUGUACCUUCUUUGUUCUAUUUAUGUUUUUACGGGAAAGGAAAAAUCCCCUUUAUCUACUAACCUCUACACAUUUUUCCCUCGCCACAUUUUUUGUCACCAAAUGCUACCUUCACGCCAACGAUGUCUAUGGGGAAAAAACUAUUUCUCGCCAACGGUUUGUAAUACUUUCAAAGUUAAUCUGUAUAAUUUAUGCCCUUUUCUUACAUAUUUGCAUCUUCUAAAAUUAUUUACGUCCUAAUCUUAUUGUAUAGGUGUGGACAACCAAGGAUUGGGCUGCCAAAAAUGUCGUAAAGAGAUUGAGGUACAGUCCAAAGCUUCUCUUCAAUAUUAUGCUUUUCCACAAUUCGUAACUAAUGGUGUGAAUAUUCUAGUCUAAUGUUUCUUCCAAAUCAUUACUAAGGAUGUAAACGUUAUGUUAAGAUUCUAACACACUUUAUAUGUUAUCCUUAAAUGUUAUUUAUAUAUAGUUUAGUGUUAUGCAAUUUAGAUUGUACUAGAUUUGUAUUGUACCAUUAGAUUUUAGUAUUGCAUAGUAGUUCAAUUCCCUGUUACUUUAGUUCUUUUCCUCUAAGACUCACACAUUCAACAAUAAUAAGUUUAAAUGUUAUUUAUAUGUAGUUUAGUAAUAUGAAGUUUUAGCAUGUCUUAGAUUUUAAUCGUACACUCAAAUAUUGGUAUUGGAUAGUAGUUCAACUUUCUCCUUCUCUACACUUUUAUGCUUUGCUUGUAGCAACAUAUGCAUUAAACAUAGCUAUAAUAUUGUAAUGAUCAGAAAACUACUUUUUCCAGCAAAAUUGUAAUGCCUUCUUAAUUUUCAUUUGAUUAUAUGUAAAUUUUUGCUAUAUUCAUAUAAUUAUUUAUGUCCUGCUCUACUCUUUUGUGUUUUGCUUGAAGAGCGACAUAUGUAUUUAUCACAACAAUCGAAGUCUAAGAAUCAAAAAAAGAAAUUACCCCAAUAAUAGUGUCAAUAUCAGGAUAUUUAUUUUUAAUUUUCUCACAUCUUGCCUUUUUGGCCAUAUCUAAGUGCUCAGUCUCUUCCUUCAAAAGACACCCCUCUUACUCUUCAUCAGAAGUUGAACCACACGUUGUGUCCUCUUUCCAAUUCCUGUCUUUUCCCCUCAUUUUUUGUUUGCUGAAUUAUGAUGUGUUUCUACUUUUAUUUGGUGUUUGACAUUAAAUAAAGCACAAAUAUAAUUUAUAUUUUGCUCGGUUCUUAUAGGGUUCAAGUUAAAAUAUAAACUGAUUAGUGUAGUUUUCCAUGUGCUUAGACGUUCAUAUUACAACUUAUCUUUUAUCAUAUUCCCACAAUGGAUUAAAAAAUUAUACAUCAUGCGCAUCAAAUUUCUACGAAUAACUGAGAACUCUGUGAUGAUGACUUCAUACUAUACAAUUACUACAAUGAGUUUUGUUGUGGGUUACACUCUAAGUUACAGAUUAGUUUUAUUGGUAUACUAAAUUAUCUUUAUUCAUGCAAGUUGUAAUGCAACGGAUAAAAAUAUUAUCAUGGUACUAUUUCUUUACGAGGUAGUCUAUGCUUGCAUUCAGAAAAUAAUGACCUUAUUCAAUGGAUAAAACUUAAAAGUGCUACAAACUGUGUAAUCACCGAGAAACAAUUAUAUUGCAGAUCACUUACAAGCAAUUCUGCAUUUUCAUCUUUCCUUCUAACAUUUUGUUUGCUGCAUUAUGAUGUGUUUCUAUCUUUAUUGGGUGUUUGACAUUUAAAUAAAGCAUAAAUGGUAGUUUAUAUGAUGAUCGGUUCUUAUAGAGAUCAAGCUAAAUAUAAACUGAUUAAUAUAAUUUUUCAUGUGAUUAUAUGUUCAUAUUACAACUUAUCUGAUAUCUUACAGGAUUCCUAAUAUAUCUUGCACAUCAAAUUUCUGUGAAUAAUUGUCAAGGUAAAUUUUUAUGCUACUUUUAACUUUUUUUUUAGUUUUCCCCAAUUAACAUUGCAUUUAUCACUGUAACUGGUACAAUUAAAGAACUUGGAAUCUCCAUAGAUUUUAUGUUACAGAUUGAAUAUUUGAAAAAUAAAAAGCACAACUAAGAGCCAAAAUAUUUUGAAGGAGUUUUACUCGAUAAUUAAUUCAAAGAUUGACUUCAAAUAUAUUUGCUUACGUAAAGAUAGUAUAUACGCUAUUACAUUUAUGACUUUUUAAUUACAAUGUUGCAGAUAAAUAGUUUAUAAUGCC
rnacentral:lncRNA from 1 species